GACGAACGCUGGCGGCGUGCUUAACACAUGCAAGUCGUACGGUAAGGCCCUUUCGGGGGUACACGAGUGGCGAACGGGUGCGUAACACGUGCGUAACCUUCCCCCAACUUUGGGAUAACGCUAGGAAACUGGUGCUAAUACUGGAUAUGUUCUCCUGCUGCAUGGUGGUGGUUGGAAAGCUCCGGCGGUUGUGGCUGGACUCGCGGCCUAUCAGCUUGUCGGUGGGGUAGUGUCCUACCAAGGCGGCGACGGGUAGCCGGCCUGAGAGGGUGACCGGCCACAGUGGGACUGAGAGAAGGCCCAGACAGCGACGGGAGGCAGCAGGGGGGAAGAUUGAAGAAGGGGCGCAAGGCGGAUGCAGCAAGGCCGCGGGCGGGAGGACGGCCUUCGGGGUGAAAACCGCUUGCAGAAGGGACGAAGCUUGUUGUGACGGUACCUGCAGAAGAAGCACCGGCUAACUACGUG
rnacentral:rRNA from 1 species